rnacentral:tRNA from 1 species
UACAAAAGGAUAACAGUAUUUCCACGGGCUUAGGCACCACAAUUCUUGGGGCAAU